AGAGUUUGAUCAUGGCUCAGGACGAACGCUGGCGGCGUGCCUAAUACAUGCAAGUCGAGCGGACAGAUGGGAGCUUGCUCCCUGAUGUUAGCGGCGGACGGGUGAGUAACACGUGGGUAACCUGCCUGUAAGACUGGGAUAACUCCGGGAAACCGGGGCUAAUACUGGAUGCUUGUUUGAACCGCAUGGUUCAAACAUAAAAGGUGGCUUCGGCUACCACUUACAGAUGGACCCGCGGCGCAUUAGCUAGUUGGUGAGGUAAUGGCUCACCAAGGCAACGAUGCGUAGCCGACCUGAGAGGGUGAUCGGCCACACUGGGACUGAGACACGGCCCAGACUCCUACGGGAGGCAGCAGUAGGGAAUCUUCCGCAAUGGACGAAAGUCUGACGGAGCAACGCCGCGUGAGUGAUGAAGGUUUUCGGAUCGUAAAGCUCUGUUGUUAGGGAAGAACAAGUACCGUUCGAAUAGGGGCGGUACCUUGACGGGACCUAACCAGAAAGCCACGGCUAACUACGUGCCCAGCAACCGCGGUAAUACGUAGGUGGCAAACAGAUGUUCCAAAAUAAUUGUAC
rnacentral:rRNA from 1 species